ACCCCACCACGUCCCCCACAGACUAUGGACUCCAGUGGUGAUGCUGUCCCAGACAAGCAACAGUGUCAGGACGGAGGAUGCAGGGUCCCAUCAGUGUAGGGUCUCCUCCCAGUCAGAGUCUGCAGAUGAGACCCCCACCUCCCCAGCUGAGCACUAGAGUGACCGUCAACACCUUUGCAUCUUCCCUUGUAACUUCACUGGAAGUGGGUGCGUAACGAAUGCAAGUAACGAGGACGUGGGUAGUCUCCUUUCGGAGCCUGUAUAACAAUGCUUAAUUAAUUAUGCAAAACUUAGCUAAUUUUGUCAUAGUUUGGUUAUUGUUUGUGAGAACUGUUUGAUUUAGCUAAGAGCCGACAAUUGUGCUGGAAACAAAAAAUCACAGGGAGGGGGCAUACUGUGAGAAUAAAAGAGUCCUUCAGAGGAAAAUGAACAGAUGGAAAUGGCUAUAGUGAGAGAAUGGAGAGUGAGAGCAAGUCCAGGGUUUCAAAUCUGAUUAAGAGGAAAAUGAUGCAACCACGUGUGGUGGAGGUGUCAGGAGGACACCGUGGUGACAAAGCAGACCGCCACACGGGGCUCAGAGCAUUUCCUCCUCCUAACCAGGCCCUCCCGGAAGACUCCUCUGGGUGUUACCUCCAGGGAACUCAGACCCCAUUUCCCUUCUCUCUUUCUCUUCUGCUUUCAGGGCAAGAAAACAGCCGAGCCCUCGGAGUGGGAGCCAUUACUGGCAUCGUGAUUGGGGUCCUGCUUGUGCUGACGCCGCUGGCUGUCCUGGGGUAUUUCAUUUUCCUUCACAGGUUUUUCUUCCCUAACCCCGGCUGCCUGCACAACAGAGGGAAGUGGCCCCCAGCAUCCACCUCAGGUGAGUGUCUGUUCAGCCCAGCACAGCGGGGUGCCCCGGGCAGGCCCUGCCCUGUCUGUUCCUGCCUGCCUCCCCCAGGGUCUCUGGCCCUUUCUCUGGGGCUUCAGCACAGGGGCCCCAACUGGCUAGUCUGCUUGUCCUGUGGCUUAUAAUCCUGGGAGGCUCCCU
rnacentral:lncRNA from 1 species